GAGGCUUGCCUUAAGUUGC
rnacentral:siRNA from 1 species